UAGGAAAAAGAUAGCCCAAGUUGAACAGAUGAGAAAGUUCAGUCGUCUUGAAAAGCGAAGAACCCAUGUCCUCAGCUGUUCGGAUCUUCAGGCUGUUCGCCGGUUUCGAGGAGUGGUGUCAGAGGGCAGUUUUGAAAUAAGAGAGAAGGUUUAUAAAAGGAAGGACGUGUUCCAGAUUAAUUUGUGUCAGAUUAAUCCAGAGCUCAAAGAAAAGAAUCCUCUGCUGGCAGAAGGAACUGUGAAAGUAGACGUGGGAAGGAGGAAGCAACAGAAUCCCAGGAAUGGGGCCAAACAACCCAGAGAGGAAAGAGAAUACAGAGGUUCGGCAGGACCCAGGUCCUGGUGGGAAUUAUAGCCAUAGCAGGCUUUUAUAAUACUGAUUAGGGCCAAGGGCAGUGGCUCACACCUGUAAUCCCAGCGCUUUCGGAGGCCGAGGUGGGUGGAUCGCUUGAGCCUAGUAGUUUGAGAUCAGCCUGGGCAACGCAGUGAAACCACAUCUCUACUAAAAAUGCAGAAGUUAGCCAGGUGUGGUAGUGGACACCUCUAAUCCCAGCUACUCAGGAGGCUGAGGCAGGAGAAUCGCUUGAACCCAGGAGACGGAGGUUGCAGUGAGCCGAGAUUGCGCCACUGCACUCCAGCCUGGGUGACAGAGUGAGACUCCAUCUCAAAAUAAAUAAAUAAAUAAAUAUAUUCACAUACACACACACAUAUCACACACACACACACGUACACACGCACACUGAUUAGUUGUAUUGUGAGUUUUUUCCUGAUUAUAAACAUAACACGAACUCAUCAAAUUUGGACUAUGGAGAAGAAUAUAGAAAAGAAAAGAAAAACCAUAAUCCCAUCACUCAGACUUUUUUCUGUACAUAUUAAUAUGCCAGAAUCUUCAGACAUUACUGAUUCUCCAGAAAACCUGUAACCAACUAUAUGACCACCAGUAGCCUGUGACUAUCCAAUGUCCCUGACCCUAGACAUGGAGAUGAUUCAGACACCACCUUUCUUAAUCCAGGAAUACCAUUUACCAGUGCUGACCAUUACCCUAAAAAAAAAAAAAAAAAAAAAGAACUUCUGUUAAAAAAAUUAUAGUUUGGGCUGAGUGCAGUGGCUCACACCUGUAAUCCCAGCACUUUGGGAGGCCAAGGUGGGCAGAUCAUGAGGUCAGGAUAUGGAGACCAUCCUGGCUAACAUGGUGAAACCCCGUCUCUACUAAAAAUACAAAAAAUUAGCUGGGUGUGGUGGCAGGCGCCUGUAUUCCCAGCUACUCGGGAGGCUGAGGCAGGAGAAUGGCAUGAACCCAGGGGCAAAGCUUGAAGAUCGCACCACUGCACUCCAGCCUGGGCAACAGAGUGAGACUCCAUCUCAAAAAAAAUAAAAAAGAAAUUACAGUUUGUAAAGUUUGAAUUUUGUGCAAUUAUUUAAAAAUCUGGGUAGGCAAAAAAUAUAUAUAGAUA
rnacentral:lncRNA from 1 species